rnacentral:Y_RNA from 1 species
GGCUGGUCCAAAGGUAAUUAUCUCAAUUGAUUGCUCACAGUUGCAGAUCAAAUUCCUUGUUCUACUCUUUUCCACCUCACUACUGCACUUGACUAGUCCUUA